UCUAUGCUACCAUAUGCUGCCGCACGGGUGUUAAAUUAAGCAUUCCUUCAUAGAAGACAGAGGAAGGUUGUGAGGAAUGACUCCUAGGUUUGAAUGGAGACUCUUUAGGAUUCUUCAAGCUCAAGAUACUGAGAGUGAGAUGCAGCAAGGAGAGCUGCUCCAAUGCCUGAUCCGUCACUGGCAAGCUUGAUGACAAUAGAAGCUGUGGCUUCUUCUCCGAGCAUCUCUC
rnacentral:lncRNA from 1 species